rnacentral:rRNA from 1 species
AUUGAACGCUGGCGGCAUGCCUUACACAUGCAAGUCGAACGGCAGCACGGGUGCUUGCACCUGGUGGCGAGUGGCGAACGGGUGAGUAAUACAUCGGAACAUGUCCUGUAGUGGGGGAUAGCCCGGCGAAAGCCGGAUUAAUACCGCAUACGAUCUACGGAUGAAAGCGGGGGACCUUCGGGCCUCGCGCUAUAGGGUUGGCCGAUGGCUGAUUAGCUAGUUGGUGGGGUAAAGGCCUACCAAGGCGACGAUCAGUAGCUGGUCUGAGAGGAUGACCAGCCACACUGGGACUGAGACACGGCCCAGACUCCUACGGGAGGCAGCAGUGGGGAAUUUUGGACAAUGGGCGCAAGCCUGAUCCAGCAAUACCGCGUGUGUGAAGAAGGCCUUCGGGUUGUAAAGCACUUUUGUCCGGAAAGAAAAGCUGCAGCCUAAUACGGUGGGGGGAUGACGGUACCGGAAGAAUAAGCACCGGCUAACUACGUG